GAAAUCUGUAGUAUAGUGGAAAGUUCACGAGGGUGUAAAUCACGAGAUGCGGCCGUGGGUUCGAGUCCCACCGGACA
rnacentral:tRNA from 1 species